GCAGCAGGCGCGAAACCUUUACACUGCACGACAGUGCGAUAGGGGAACUCCGAGUGCGAGGGCAUAGAGCCCUCGCUUUUCUGUACCGUAAGGUGGUACAGGAAGAAGGGCUGGGCAAGACCGGUGCCAGCCGCCGCGGUAAUACCGGCAGCCCAAGUGAUGGCCGAUAUUAUUGGGCCUAAAGCGUCCGUAGCUGGCCGGACAAGUCCGUUGGGAAAUCCGCACGCUUAACGUGCGGGCGUCCAGCGGAAACUGUCCGGCUUGGGACCGGAAGACCCGAGGGGUACGUCCGGGGUAGGAGUGAAAUCCUGUAAUCUCGAACGGACCACCUGUGGCGAAAGCGCCUCGGGAAGACGGAUCCGACAGUGAGGGACGAAAGCCAGGUUCUCGAACCGGAUUAGAUACCCGGGUAGUCCUGGCUGUAAACGAUGUCCGCUAGGUGUGACGCAGGCUACGAGCCUGCGUUGUGCCGUAGGGAAGCCGUGAAGCGGACCGCCUGGGAAGUACGUCUGCAAGGAUGAAACUUAAAGGAAUUGGCGGGGGAGCACUACAACC
rnacentral:rRNA from 1 species